AUGACAAAAUCCACUGUCAGGUUCCUCGGCUCGUCCCUGAACCAUGACAAAGAGUGCCCGAGUGAACGCAGAGAUCCCCUAAAUAACGACCCCCUUCUGCCUCCCGUUGCAGUGCGCAGCAAGGGGCAGGUGGAGACGGGGCAGUACCGGUUCCUGGCGAGGGGCGGCGGCUACGUGUGGCUGGUGACGCAGGCCACGCUCAUUCACGGGCCCAAGGACCACAAGCCGCAGUACGUCGUGUGUCUCAACUACGUCGUCAGUGGUGUGGAGUCUCCAGGAGAGAUUGUGUCAGAGCUGCAAUUGAUGUGCAGCAAGAGCAGUAGCAGCAGCAGCACCAACAGCAGCAAAGAGCCAGACAGCACUUGCAGCAGGGUGGAUAGCCAGUCCCCUCCUGUCAGCCUUUCGCCUCCCACUGUGGCUCCCAGCAUUCCCACACCCACACACUGCCCCUCCUGCCCAAAAAGUCUCCUGCCCAACCCAAGACUCAGAGCCAGACUCCUCGUGUGACACCAGUAGGCCCACCUCCGACACCUGUGGCAACCACAUCCAAGAUCUUCGCUCCUCGUACUGAGGAAAUGAACAAAGGAUAUUUGAUGUUCUCUGAAGAUGAUCCACAAUGCACAGUGCUGAAGGAAGAACCUGAGGACUUGACCCACUUGGCUCCCUCGGGGGGUGACACGUGCGUGCCCCUGCCUGCUUUCAUGCCCAACCUGGAUGAUAUGUUCUCAUUUGACUACGCCCAGAUACCCAUUUCUAGCACUGAUGUCCUCUUCACCACUGCCUCGUCUGUGUCUGAAGAGCAGGAGAGCAACUCCGGUUUUGAGAAAAAGCUAAUCAGUGAAGAGAAGCGUCUUAGCAGCAGGCUGAGUGGAGGAAACGUGAUUAUUAAUAACAGCAUUGGCAACAGUCCAGCAUCCAGUUGCAGCAGUCCACCCGCAGGUGGACUUCGCACGCCUGAACCCCCAAAGCCUUUGCUUUCUCAGGCGGCCUUGCCAUCAGUCCUGGAAAAGAAAUUUAAUUUUGGGACUUUAGGCUGCAGCAGUCAUCCCAGAACAACAACAGAGAGUUUCUUCUCACAACUGGAUGAAAGUUCCAACCCUGGUUCAGAGUUCACCAAAGUGGAGCUCAAGAUAGAAGACCACAACAUGGAUUCUGAUGAGUUUGACAUGAGGGCCCCAUACAUACCCCACAGUGAUGAAAUGUUGGUGUUGAGUUCGGAUGAUUUGUUAUGGGGUGCGGAGGUCGAGCCUGCUGUAUCUCCAAAGAACCAACUUGGAUACCACAGAGAGACCAAGAGUUAUACCUUAAACAGCAAGGAAGAUUCAAGUCUUGCUCAGCUUCUGCGAGAUACAGACCCACCCAUUACCAGCUGUCGUACAGGGAAGGAUAGUAAAGUUGAUAACGGAGGAGGCUCGCAGCAGAGCCAAUAUGAACAAAGCAAGUUCUUUGACGGAGGGGAGAAUUUUGUUGAUCCAAACAAGGUACUUCCAGGACAUUGUAUUGGAAAAGAUGGUUUAGAUGGAUCUCCUGAUUGCAAUGACCAAGGUGAGGAUGAGCCACCAGCUGUAAUGGUGCAAGAGACAGUAGAGCCACCGCCACCCUUAAUCACCAUAGACACUAACCAGAUGUCACUGGCUGUCAAGAGGGGGCCGUCUCCAAACUCAUCUCCCAUUCUCACCCACAAAAAGCUCUGCUCCCUCUCACAUCGCCAGCGACAGAUGCUAUCAUCUUCAGCAACUGGGGAUGGGCAUAUAGCACUCCUGCAACCUCAGCAACAGCAACAGCAGCAGCAGACAGGAGUGCGCCUACUGACCACGCCUUAUGCCCCCACUAUGCAGCAGUUGCUGAUCAGCAAAGAGCCCAUCACAGUUCGGGGAAGACAUUCUGGAGGUCUCGGCACCCAUCAGAGUUCAAGCAAUGACAGUAGACACUCAGUGCUUCGAAACCUGCUGAAUGUUGAAGAAGUUGGAAGUAUAGUGAGGUGUGAGCCUCAACCAGGAGGGAGUGGAGUGAGUUCUGCAACGACGCGUCCGUCUCAAGACAGGAUGACUGACAUGGUUGCCACAGGAGGCAGUGAAACCAAUACAGGCAAUCAGCUUUCUGCUCCCAAACUGAGGCUUGUCACAGGCAGCCAAGGAACACUGAUGCAUGCUGGACAUCUUGCCAUCAAGGUUGCUUCAAAAGGCUCAGGAGAUGGUUUCUUCAAGCGUGUGCGCCGCCAGGACCCACUGCUAUUGAUGGACCCUGACCUGUCGAUUCCAGACUUGCUGGAUCUUACACAAUUAGACUAUGAGGUCAACGCUCCUGCCAAUAAUUGUAGUCUACUCCAGGGAUCUGACCUGCUCAUGGCUUUAGAUCAGAGUCCGUAAGGUUUCCUGUUCAGUGAACAGGGAUUUGUGUUGAGGGAACAUCCAUCUUCAUAGUUUCUUAGAAAGGAUGAAGAAGAUUAUUGCUUUUUAGAUUUUGAAUGAAUGAGAAGUAUUUUUUUAGCUCUGAAAUUUACCCUUACUUCCCCUUCUUUGUGGCCAAUAUGUUGUUGAAAUGAAGGGACAUAAGUAAAAUUAUUAUGGUUGAUAAAUGCUCUUGAGCUUGGUAUUCCAGGAGGUCUGAAACUUGCUUAAUACCAUAUUCUGAUUUGUCAUCAUCUCUCCUUGUUAUUUGGAUAUCCCAAGUUUUGCUGAAGUUUAUUACGAUUCCUUCCUACCUUGAUGCUGUAAUUAAUGUCUUACAGUUUAGGAAUAAUUUUUUUAGUGUGGCACUGAACCUUCUUAUUUUUGCUGCACAAGACUGAAACUGAUUAGUUUUCCCUCCAUAUCUAACAAUAUUUUUAGAAAGAAAUUUAAAGCUAUUUGUGCAGGAUCAGUUAAUUGUGCAAACUUAUAAAAUUAAAGAAGGAAAAGCAUAUAUAAAUUGUAUAUUAUGGCAUUGUUCUCAAGAAAAUGUAAUUGAUAAUUCAGUUUCACAUUGUGAUGGAGAACAUGACAGGCUAAUCCCUUUAGUGUUUUUUCCAUAAUAGAUUUUAUUCUUCCUAAGCAAGAGCAGUUGAGAAUUAGGUUACAAGAGAUUUUUUUUUGAAGAUGAAUAAUUCUGCUGUACUGGAAAAGACAGUGAUUCCGUGCCUUGGACAGAGUGUUUUAUAGUACCUCCUUAUUACCCUUCAGUGAUAAAAACAAAAAGGAUUUUUUUAGAAGUUGCCUAGGGUGUUCAAGAUGUCUAGCAGUUUAUCCUGUCCAGUAUAAUGUUAUGUUUUGGCUGCAUUUUGAGGAAGUAUUGCAUAUGUCCUUGACUUGUUUCUUACUUUAGAUUUUUAUGCCAACUUGGAAAUAUGAAUGUUUGGUGCAGCAAGUUUUGGAUCUCAUUACUGCAGACUAGAAGUAAAUACUUCACUAAAUUUUAGAUGUUCUUCAAUUGAUGAGUGGUAUGAAGUUGCCCAUUUUUUAUGUUUUGUGUUUAAUUUAACUACUUAUAGUUAAAAAGCAUUGAAGUACGAACAGUUGGUUAAUCAGUUGAUUAAACUUUAGAUAUUAUUUGUUACUUGCUGAUAUCUUGUACCAGAGCUUACAACCGUGUUACUUAAAGAUAGUAAAAUUAUGUAGUUUCCAAGGAGUUUAGAGAACUUUUUUAAAAGAAACACAAAUGGUACAAGUGUCCAUAAACAUUUUGUGUUCAUUGUUUUCAACCAGCUUCAGCUAAAAAUGCCAUAUUUGAAACAAUGAAUCAGAGGAUCAGAUUGGCAAAUUUCAGAUUCUAUUUCAUGAAUUUAAUUAUGUAUUUCCUUGAUUUUUAUUUUUUGUAUUUGGUUUUAUGUAAUUUUUUCAUUCCUCUUACAUGUUUUACUUUUAUACAAGCUUAUCCAUACUUGUGAAUACUGCCAAAAUGACCAAGUGUUUUCAGAGAGAGUUUGGGAUUGAACAAGCCUUCAACCAUGAUGUUAAAAGUGUUAGUCUGCAGUGUCCUUAGCUAGAUUGAGCUUAAAGGCUUGAUUCUUAGAUCUUAGCUUGAGACAAACCACUGUGUAGGCUGCUCAUCCAUCUGUUCUGAAGCAUGAGUAAAAGCAGCUGACCUCGGUGGCCGAAAAGUUUGCGUGGCAGCAGCUUGGUAGACCGUAGACUGUCAGCUAGAUCACUCUUCAAGUCAGCUGGGAUGGAUGAUGUAGGGCAAAGGGAGGUACUCUCAGAAUGUUGGAGGGACUUUGCCAUAUCAGAAUACCAUUAUGAUUUUCCAUUAACCCCACCCCCUUAAGGAAAAGAAUAAUAAUGAUGAGAAGUUAAAAGAAAAGUUAAUCAUUAACUUCUUUGUGAAAUUUUAUAAGAUCACAGGACAUUAUUUGAAUUAGACUGUCAGAAUAAGCUACAGAGAUUUUAAUGAGGUAUGAUAAUAGAGCUAUAAUUUUGGAAAGGUGUUUGUUUAUUUUUAAUUCAUGUAAUCUUGAAUUAGAAGUAUGACUGUUGGUAUUAACUUGCCCAGAUGCAGAAGAAUUCUCCUUGGAGUUGUAUGCAUGUGUAUAUAUAUAAUUUACUGUUUUACUGGUGUCUGUGUGGUAUGAUUAGAAAAGAAUUUAUGUAUGGAACUUUAUGUCUGCAUUUAUUAGCAGUUUUACACUGUAACAGAAGAAUUUGUCUUAAAAUUGAAGGCUUUUUCCUGAUUUGAAUGACCAAUUUAUUUUUUUGCGUUGUAUGUGAACUGUUAAUACAUGCAGAAAAUCUUUAUAUUAUUUUAUCUUUAUCUAUAUGGCUUUGUUUUUUUUCUCUUUUCUUUUUUUAGAGAUAUUUUAAGUUCAUUUCAUUUCCCCAUUUUCCAAUACAAACAAACGACAAUAACAUUCUUGCAUUACCGUACUCAGUUAUUUUUUUCUUCGGAAUUGUCUGCAGACAACUUCGAUUGCAAUAAUGGUUACUGCUCUACAUAUCCCACUUCUAUUUUAGUUACUAGACUUUUGUGGGAGAGUAGAUAGGUUAAGGAUCCUUUCUGGCUAGUAAGACCUGCCACAUUCUAUUUACAGCAACCUCCUGAGUUGAAAAUUAGAUGCAUGUCAUAUAGGUGGUGGAUCGUGUAUCUUUUUAUGGCAUUAGUAUGAAUGCUGUAAUAAGUUAGUCUAAAUUCAUUUUCUCUUUCUCUCUCCUUCUCUUUCUGUUUUCUUCCCCCUGUUCCUGCUUUGCUCUCCCCCUCUCGUCUCUCUCCUUUCUUUCUUUUUUCUCGUCUCUCUGUUCUUUGAUAUUCUAAGCACUGAAAAGAAGUAUAGGCUUGCUGUAGCAGUGCAACUAUAUGUUAUUGGAUUUUUUUUCUUUAAGAUUUGGUUGCUUUUAAUAUUAAGGCUUAAACAAAAAUCCUCAAAUUUAUUAUCACAGAAUAUUUUUUUUUGUUCAUGUUUUAUUUCCAUAUUAUUAUUUUUGUAACAUGGUGAAAAAUCAUCAAGCCAUGCAGAUUAAAUUGAUGUCAUACAAUCUCACAACACCUUAUAUAAAAUUUCAUGAGUAUGUCUUCUGAUUGCAGUAUUCUACUCACAGUAUGUGUGCCAUGUGGAUUUCAAGUAUCUGUACUCUGUUUCUAGAAUAAUGUAAAGGAUUUCCACAGAAGAAAUAUGUUCAGUCAGUGCAAAUUGUGGUAUGAAAUAGGACAUUAGGCAAGGAAUGCUUGGCAAGUUAUGUGAUUUCAUGAGCAACAUAUUUCUUCAUAAAUCCAAAAAAAGUAUAUGAAAAAAUAUUAACCAUAGGUUUUUAGGAGUUUACAGCCAUAUUAGUUAAUUUGUGCUGCAGGUAUAUCUCAUACUUGUGGAAAACCAAUCCAUUGGCUCAAAUUUUCUGAUAUGUCAAACUUCCUCAUAUAUAUAUCUGACCCAGGCUUUACCCUAGAGCUUGGGGGUUCUUUUAGAUCAGGUUACUGCCAGACUCAUAACAAAGAGGCAUUGACGUUUUCGUAAAGCAGAAUUGUAUCUUUCACUUGUAUAUUCCCCCUAAAGUGCUUAGGGUUUGCUACAAAGAAAUCUACCUAACAUUGUUGAAAUGAUUAAUAUUAUUUUUUGAUUUUUAUACAUUGUUGCAUAACAAGAAUGCCUCUUGCUAUGAUGCCUUUUCAAUCUGUAGCGCUAUGAAGAAUUAGGUAUGUAAAUUAUUACCAUGGUUAGUGAUCUGCUAAAGAUAAAAUUUGAGUGAUGAAACUGUAAUUGUAUCAAUUUAGCCUGUAAUAAAUUCAGUGUAGAAUUGUCUUGUUAAGGAGUCACCCCCCCUUUUUUGACAUUGUCGCCAAAACACUUCAUGUAAAAAAGUCUGUGCUGCUCUCUUUAGAUUACUGCAUUUAGACACAAAAGCUAUGCACUCAUUUGGCUUUUUUAAGACUGAUUUUGUAAAGUGUAAGUGUCAGAGAUGUGAAAACAAAGUAAAAGCUACUUAGCAGACACAUGAACUGGAGAGAUAUAUUUUUUAUUGCCAAGUAACCACAAGUUUUCAGUUUUAAAAAAUUAAGACCCAAAACCAACUUAUCAUCACCAUGUAUUUUCUGUGGAGCAACAACUUUGGCUAUGCUUUUUCCAUUGUUAACAAGCUGUAUACCCUUCCUGUACUUCAAUAUACAUGCAGCAAGUAAGCACAUUAAUCUGAAGGUAAUGUAAAAGUUAAUUUUAGGGACUACAAUAGCAUUUAGGUCACUGAACUGGUCUUUUUUUCAGCUAUAUUUCAUGAGAAAGCAAAAGUCAGGUGUGCAGCAAGGAAAGUAAAUUUGAUAUUAUUUGUAAGAACUCUUAAAAACAAAUGUGUUGGAAAUAAUUUAGAGAUAUGCUUUAAGUUAAAUGUUAGCUGAUCACAUGGCUAUCAGAUAUCCAUUACUAAUCUGCAUAUAUAUAUAUAUAUAAACUGUGGUACAAA